rnacentral:lncRNA from 1 species
CGAAGCUGUAGCCGGGGACUGCAUCGGUGGCUAGGGUGAUGGUGUCCUGUGAGAGGUUGGCUGCUAAGGAGGAGCCACCAUAGGUGAGGUUGAAUGAGCACACCCCCCCACCGCAUGUGGGUUUUGGCACCUGAAAUUACGCGAAGAUCAUAGAAGUUAAAAAGUCUUUUUUUAUAUAAAGGCCCUGGUGACAUGUCAAGAAAAAAACAAAGGAAACAACACUCGGAGAUGUGAGUAAUGGUGAGAGUAAAUGCAGUACCUGCUUACACUGAGCAGCUUGGCAGCCAAGGGACUUGUAGGUAGUAGAGGCAGGAGAGUUAAAGAGAGUGGAGGAGCAGCCCAGACAGCCAUUGCAAGGAAUCCAAGCAACAUCACUGCUGGUGUCCAUGGCCAUGAGCAUGGUUUGAGCAGGAGUUCCAAUCUUAGCCCUCACAAUAUAAGUUGGGUUCUGGACGAUCUGCCUGCCUGAAGCAAUAGGCACUACAGAUUUGCGGGCGACAAGGCUAGAUAAAAACUGGAGCCUGGCCUUGUCCUUGGCCUGCAUUUGGAGCACACUCUCCUCCCAGGACAGUGGCUCUUUUGGCCUGA